rnacentral:rRNA from 1 species
UACGGGGGGGCAAGCGUUGUUCGGAAUUACUGGGCGUAAAGGGCUCGUAGGCGGCCAACUAAGUCAGACGUGAAAUCCCUCGGCUUAACCGGGGAACUGCAUCUGAUACUGGAUGGCUUGAGUUCGGAGAGGGAUGCGGAAUUCCAGGUGUAGCGGUGGAAUGACGUAGAUAUCUGGAGGAACACCGGUGGCGGAAGGCGGCGAUCCUGGACCGGAUAUUGACGCUGAGGCGCGAAAGCCAGGGGAGGCAAACGGGG